UACGCAACUCAUCCAACACGGUGGGUUUGGGAUUGUAGGUCGGGUCAUGAUCGCCAGUUUUUGAUGACUUGGAAUGAGACUCAAAAAUCAACUUUCUAACAACGCGGACCUUCAAAGUCAACUGAUGGUAAAACUAAACAAGUCGUACUUCAUAACGUCUGAUGAGUUUAUAAAAGCACAAACAGACAACCGCGCCUCCACGGUGAGAUGGGAGCGUAGCAUGUUUACUCCGGCUGUUGGUCUCUGAGCUUCUCCACAGCUGAGGAUUAACCGGAUAAAUUCAAGAUGAAGAGAAAGAAUCCUACGCACACGUCUCGGCAGCAAUUCACCGACUGUAUUUCAUCGCGCAGGAACUACAAACCCCCCCUCAUCACCAUGAAAUACACCAUUACAGCGCUGAGACAGCUCUACACUCAGCUGCCAAUUUAUGAGUGCAGAGCGUACCUGGAUGGAGAACAAAGGAGAAAGAGACAAUGGGACGAGCAGAUAAGGAAAAAAAAAACUGCUGGAGAUGAACUUGAAUCUACAGAUGAUGAGAUGAAAUGCGCUGCGUUUGUGAGAGCAGAAAACAGGAUGCAGACAGCUUUACAGAAAAAAAAAGACUGUAGCAGAGACUAAAGAUGGCAGAACUGAUUAGAAAGUCCAAGAAGAGGAGAGAAGAGGAGUUAUGAAACUUUGACGGAGAAAUUUGAGGAAAAAAGGCUUUUGAGCUACGAGACGUUAUGCAAUAUUAUCUCUGGAUGUACAUGUAAUCAGCCAGGGGGGAAAUAAUGACCCCCCGUAGAGUUGAAACAGUCGGCAGGAUGACAGGAAGUGGAUAAUGAACAUAAUUUCUCCAUUAUGCAGAUUGGAUGAUUUUACACGUGAGUUACUCUCACUUCUUUGACAUUUCAUAAAAAUCAAUAAACCGGUAGGUUUUCAGCCGUCGUCCUCUGAGCUAAGAUUUACACGUCCUACACCUGAGGAAGCCUAAUGUGUGUUUGAUCUGCUAUGGAAAUUAUAUUCACUGCACUACGGUAAAGAAAAAAAAAAAACACGUUCCCUGUGUGUGGUAUCUCGAUCAUAUUCCCCUGUUUGACCUUGAUCCUGUUCUGUAAGGCUCAUGAUCCACCUCUGGGCUGUGACUCACCUGUUGAGAAAUCACUGUGAUGUGGAAAAAGUCUGCUAAUACCCCCUCAACCCCCUCACAUCUGCAUGGAAGGCAGUGAUUAGGAAUUUAAGAUCAAGGGGCGAGAUUGCGAGCAGAAAGGAGGGAAGGUUGGAGAAAGAGAGAACCGUGAAAUCUGCUCUCGUUUGAACUGCAAAUU